UACAGAGGGGGCAAGCGUUGUUCGGAAUUACUGGGCGUAAAGGGCGCGUAGGCGGCCUGCUAAGUCGGACGUGAAAUCCCCGAGCUCAACUCGGGAACUGCGUCCGAUACUGGUUGGCUUGAAUCCGGGAGAGGGAUGCGGAAUUCCAGGUGUAGCGGUGAAAUGCGUAGAUAUCUGGAGGAACACCGGUGGCGAAGGCGGCAUCCUGGACCGGCAUUGACGCUGAGGCGCGAAAGCCAGGGGAGCAAACGGGAUUAGAAACCCUAGUAGU
rnacentral:rRNA from 1 species